AACGAACGCUGGCGGCAGGCUUAACACAUGCAAGUCGAGCGCCCCGCAAGGGGAGCGGCAGACGGGUGAGUAACGCGUGGGAAUCUACCCAUCUCUACGGAAUAACGCAUGGGAGCGUGUGCUAAUACCGUAUACGUCCUUCGGGAGAAAGAUUUAUCGGAGAUGGAUGAGCCCGCGUUGGAUUAGCUAGUUGGUGGGGUAAAGGCCUACCAAGGCGACGAUCCAUAGCUGGUCUGAGAGGAUGAUCAGCCACACUGGGACUGAGACACGGCCCAGACUCCUACGGGAGGCAGCAGUGGGGAAUAUUGGACAAUGGGCGCAAGCCUGAUCCAGCCAUGCCGCGUGAGUGAUGAAGGCCCUAGGGUUGUAAAGCUCUUUCACCGGUGAAGAUAAUGACGGUAACCGGAGAAGAAGCCCCGGCUAACUUCGUGCCAGCCGCCGCCGUAAAAC
rnacentral:rRNA from 1 species